GACGAACGCUGGCGGCGUGCUUAACACAUGCAAGUCGAACGGACAGGCCCUGCUCUUGUGGGGUGCUCGAGUGGCGAACGGGGGAGUAACACGUGAGUAACCUGCCCUUGACUUUGGGAUAAAUUCAGGAAACUGGGGCUAAUACCGGAUAGGAGCUCCUGCUGCAUGGUGGGGGUUGGAAAGUUUCGGCGGUUGGGGAUGGACUCGCGGCUUAUCCGCUUGUUGGUCGGGUAGUGGCUGACCAAGUCUUCGACGGAUAGCCGGCAUGAGAGGGUUACCGGCCACAUGGGGACUGAGGGACGCCCCAGACUCCUACGGGAGGCAGCAGUGGGGAAUAUUGCACAAUGGGCGGACGCCUGAGGCAGCAACGCCGCGUGCGGGAUGACGGCCUUCGGGUUGUAAACAGAUUUCGCCUGUGACGAAGAGUGAGUGACGGUAAUGGGUAAAGAAGCACCGGCUAACUACGUG
rnacentral:rRNA from 1 species